rnacentral:tRNA from 1 species
GGGGCCGUGGUCUAGCCUGGGUAUGACGUCGGGCUCCAGACCCGAAUGUCGAGGGUUCAAAUCCUUCCGGCCCCACCA